rnacentral:sRNA from 1 species
UAAAUGCUUCCCCCAUCUCGUUUCAGUACAAAACGUUUAAUUGUGGAUGUCAUCCGGUUCCAGCCAGGAGAGACCUUGACUGAAAUCCUAGAAACACCAGCCACCAGUGAACAGGAAGCAGAACAUCAGAGAGCCAUGCAGAGACGUGCUAUCCGUGAUGCCAAAACACCUGACAAGAUGAAAAAGUCAAAAUCUGUAAAGGAAGACAGCAACCUCACUCUUCAAGAGAAGAAAGAGAAGAUCCAGACAGGUUUAAAGAAGCUAACAGAGCUUGGAACCGUGGACCCAAAGAACAAAUACCAGGAACUGAUCAACGACAUUGCCAGGGAUAUUCGGAAUCAGCGGAGGUACCGACAGAGGAGAAAGGCCGAACUAGUGAAACUGCAACAGACAUACGCUGCUCUGAACUCUAAGGCCACCUUUUAUGGGGAGCAGGUGGAUUACUAUAAAAGCUAUAUCAAAACCUGCUUGGAUAACUUAGCCAGCAAGGGCAAAGUCUCCAAAAAGCCUAGGGAAAUGAAAGGAAAGAAAAGCAAAAAGAUUUCUCUGA